rnacentral:lncRNA from 1 species
CUCAAGUGAUCCAUCCACCUCGGCCUCCUGAAGUGCUGGGAUUAUAGGUGUGAGCCACUGUGCCCAGCCCCAGCUAAUUUAAAAAAAUAUUUUUUGUAGAGAUGGAGUCUCGUUGUACUGCCCAGGCAGGUCUCAAACUCCUAAGCUCAAGGAAUCCUCCCACUUCGGCCUCCCGAAUGCCUCCACAGGCAUUAGCUACUGUGCCUGGCCUGAUAUCUUUUUUGUACAGUCAAAUCAAUAUCAGAAGAGAGGAAAAUGUCCAAUCUGACUCCAUUCACUUCAUUAUUUUAAUACAGGUGGAAGUUGGGAGUAACUGUUGAACCAAUUAACCAGGGGUCUUCUUUGUCUCCCUAGUGCAAUUGGUCGUGAUUAGCAAAUAUUUACUGAAUGGAAGUGAAUUCAUUGAGCAUUCCUUAUGUGCACAGAACCAUGCCAGGCAUUGUCAAGAAUAGAGCAGGAUUAUAAGGCAGGAUCUCUGCAGCUUGAGGUUUAUAGUCUCUCUGAGGAGAUUAUUGAUGUAAUGACCAGCAAAUGAUAGGCCGGAAGAGCAUGUGCUAUUUACGGUAUUGAGUUGCUCAGCACUUUGCUCUGGCUCGUCUUCUCUCUUUAUACUUACCCCAUUGGUGACCUCACACAAAGCCUUUUAUUGGCUUUGAAUAGUGUCUUUAUGCUGUUGACUCUCAAAUGUGUAUCUUCCACCCAAUGUUCUUUCAUCUGCAUCUCAAAUUUAUACGUUCAAGACACCCUCCACCAAACCUUCUCCUUCACCAACUAGCAUCCUCCCAGUAAACAUCACCACCCACCUGGCUGUUUAAGCUGUGCAAGCCAGAUACCUGUGAGUAUUUUCAUUUCUUCCCUUCUCUCAUCUCUCACAUCAAGUUUACCCCAAGCCUUAUGGACCCCACCUCUUCUACCUCCCAAAUAAUUCCAUUUAUUUUCACCAUCUAUGCUGCCUCAAUGCUAGAUUGAACAUCUAUUGGCCCUCGCUGCAUUAAAGUAGCAGCCUCUUAACUGGUCUUCUGACACAACCCAUUCUCCUCUUAGCAGUUGAUGUCAAAAACAUAAAUCGGAUUAUAUCACUCAUUUAGAUCCUUUGCUAGAAUCCAUACAAGGGAUAAAAUUGCAUAAACCUAUAUACAUGUAUACAAAUGAAUGAAUGCAUGUAAACGUUGGUAAAAGCUGAAUAAGACCUGUAUCUAGUUAAUAGUAUUGCACCAAUGCCAAUCUCCUGAUUUUGAUAUUGUAUUUUAUAUAUAUAUAUACACACAUACAUACACAUGUAAGAUGACACCACUGGGGGAAGCUGGAUGAAGGGUACACAGAAAUCUGUGUACUAACUUGGCAACUUCCUAUGAAUCUAUAUUUAGUUAAAAACAAAAUGUUUUUUAAACACUUGCAAUCAUCCAUUGGCUUCUGCUGCAGCAAAUCCAACCCUUUACCACAGCCUGCAGAAGCCAUUCCCUGCUGUGACUCCUGCCAACCUCCUUUGUAACCCCACCCAACCAUAUCAUUCUCCUACCAGUUACCCUGCCUCAGCUACACUGUAUUCCUAGCAGUUCCCAAAACACAGCAAAUGCCUUUCUGUCCCAGGACAUUUGUGUAUGCUGCCCCAGCUGCCUAGAAUGCUAUUCCUAUGGCUGGUUCUUCCUCAUCUUUCAGAGAAGUCUUUACUGACAUCUCAUGUAUACCAGAGCCCCACUAGGUUCUUUUCCUUAACAGAGCUGUUGUGAGUUGUAAUGAGUACUAGCUUAGUAGUAUUCAUUGAUGCUUAUAUUCUAGUGAGAGCAAGUGAAAACGCAGAGAUCAUAUCUGCUUUAUUUGUUAAUGUAUCCCUGUUCACUAGUAUAGUGCUUGGCCUAUAAUCAGUGUUCAAUACAUAAUUAUUGAUAAAAAGAAAGAAAGAAAAAUAAAUAUGCUUUAGGGUCCCAGAAAAUGGGG